GUCAAAUAAGGGACAACAUUUUCGAACAAACCAAACCUUAGCCACUCAAACAUCAACUACUUCUGUUAUCACUCUAAGAAAUUAGGGUAACACCGCUCCCUCCUUCCCUUCCCCCCCCCCCCCCCCCCGCAAGUUGGAGGGGGAGGUACAAACACCGAAAUUUCCCAAUAGAUUCUAAUGAAGAGGACCUGUGAGAUGUUUAGUAAAGAGAUCCGCAAGCUGAGAAUCAGAUCGAACAAAGGAAAGAGAAUUAAGCGCAGCAAGAAAUUGUUGUCGCACAAAGUGAUAGUCGAUUUCGACAUGUUUGGUUCGUUCAUGGAAUAUAGGGUUUUUGGUGUUAUGAAGUGCAACUUUACUAUCGGAAUGAAGAGGAACAAGCAAAAAGAUUAAGGAUUGACAGAUCUUCAAAAGGGCGAACAAACAAAGUGAGUUCAGCUACAACUCGUCGCAUAAAACAGUAUUCCGCCUCCACAGAACUAAGUGAGAUGGAGGUUUUCUUCUUUUACUUCCAAGAAAUAGGAGAAGAACCCAGCUAAACUUUGCUCAGGAUCGACAAUCUUUUGUUGUUCAAGAUGAGCGGUUAAGAUCUCUUCUGGCGAUUACGCAGUCAUGACCAUGAGAGUUUUAUGAAAAAAUAAUUUUUUCAGUUCAGUUGUUAAGAGAGACUCACACUGACUCCUAAAGCCUUAGACGUCAAAGAAAUUAAUGAAUUUUUUGUUCUUGCUUAUGAUUCAGCGGGUAAUAAAUUAUGAUUAUAUUAUCUUUACCAAUACUGAUCUAGAAAUCACUAAUUUUCUUCUAACAUUGUAUCAUUAUUUGAUUAGAAAUAUUUCAUGUGUGCAUUUGUUAA